CGGAUUCUGGCUCAGGAUGAACGCUAGCGGCAGGCUUAACACAUGCAAGUCGAGGGGCAUCGGGAGUAGCAAUACUUGCCGGCGACCGGCGCAAGGGUGCGUAACGCGUGAGCAACAUGCCCGUAUCAGGGGGAUAAUCCAUGGAAACGUGGUCUAAUACCCCAUAGUAAUUAUGUAAGGCAUCUUAUAUAAUUUAAAGCUUUGGUGGAUACGGAUUGGCUCGCGUGACAUUAGCUGGAUGGUAAGGUAACGGCUUACCAUGGCUACGAUGUCUAGGGGUUCUGAGAGGAAGGUCCCCCCACACUGGAACUGAGACACGGUCCAGACUCCUACGGGAGGCAGCAGUGAGGAAUAUUGGACAAUGGAUGGAAAUCUGAUCCAGCCAUGCCGCGUGCAAGGAAGACGGCCCUAUGGGUUGUAAACUGCUUUUGUAUGGGAGCAAUAAGGGCUACGUGUAGUCCGAUGAGAGUACCAUACGAAUAAGCACCGGCUAACUCCGUGCCAGCCGCCGC
rnacentral:rRNA from 1 species